rnacentral:rRNA from 1 species
GACGAAGGAUGCAAGCGUUAUCCGGAUUCAUUGGGUUUAAAGGGAGCGUAGGCGGCCUUAUAAGUCAGUGGUGAAAUCUUUGGGCUUAACCCAAAAAUUGCCAUUGAUACUGUAGGGCUUGAGUACAGUUGCUGUGGGCGGAAUAUGACAUGUAGUGGUGAAAUACAUAGAGAUGUCAUAGAACACCGAUUGCGAAGGCAGCUCACAAAACUGUAACUGACGCUGAGGAGCGAAAGCGUGGGGAGCGAACAGG